GACGAACGCUGGCGGCGUGCCUAAUACAUGCAAGUCGAGCGGAAUGAGGAGAGCUUGCUCUCCGAAUUUAGCGGCGGACGGGUGAGUAACACGUGGGCAACCUGCCUGUAAGACUGGGAUAACCUCGGGAAACCGAAGCUAAUACCGGAUACAACUUCCUUUUGCAUAAGAGGAAGGGGAAAGACUGAGAGUCGCUUACAGAUGGGCCCGCGGCGCAUUAGCUAGUUGGUGAGGUAACGGCUCACCAAGGCGACGAUGCGUAGCCGACCUGAGAGGGUGAUCGGCCACACUGGGACUGAGGCACGGCCCAGAAUCCUACGGAAGGCAGCAGUAGGGAAUCUUCGGCAAUGGACGAAAGUCUGACCGAGCAACGCCGCGUGAGCGAAGAAGGCCUUCGGGUUGUAAAGCUCUGUUGUUAGGGAAGAACAAGUGCUGGUUAAAUAAGCUGGCACCUUGACGGUACCUAACCAGAAAGCCACGGCUAACUACGUGCCAGCCGCCGCGGUAACAC
rnacentral:rRNA from 1 species